rnacentral:misc_RNA from 1 species
UUUUUUUUUUUAUUACAUAUAUUCGCGAAACAGAAACUGAUCCUGGGAACGACAUCAGUGAUCCAGGAAGGACUGCAGCUUGCUAGGGUAGCAGAGAAUGAGGUGACUCAGAUUUUGCCAGUCACCAAGAUCUUGUACUUGUCUUCAAAAUACUUUUAUCUGAAUUAACUCGAGGUUGAUUCAAUUGCAGAAAUUAUGCUUAAUCUGAACCAGAACUU